UUAAGCAUAUCACUAAGCGGAGGAAAAGAAACUAACCAGGAUUCCCUAGUAACGGCGAGUGAAGAGGGAAUAGCCCAGCACCGAAGCCUGCGGUAGUUUUACUGCUAGGCAAUGUGGUGUUUGGGUCGGCUCGCGGGAUUGCCACUCCACUCGAAGUCCAGCACUGAGUAUGGUUCCCUGGAUUUGGCCCAGAGAGGGUGAAAGGCCCGUGCGAGUGGAGGUUCAGACAUGUGAGGCAAUUCACCAGGCCGACCUUCGAGUCGGGUUGUUUGGGAAUGCAGCCCAAAGC
rnacentral:rRNA from 2 species